UGAUACUCUGGCUUCGGAUUAUCCAAAAGAAUAUGAUGGUGCUAGCCUUCAGAUGAGACUAUCGUACAGUCACUGUGCUCAUAUAUUUCUGUUUCUUGUUCAGUGGACUGACUGUCACUUUGCUGGUGCUCUAGGAUUGCUUAGGAUCCAUAUUUAUAAGGCUUAUGAGGAUGGUAACACAAGCAUGUAUAUUCAUGAGAGAAAAGCUAGUAUAAAACAGUUCUAUGGGGUGAUAUUUCCCUCUUUGUUGCAACUUCAAAG
rnacentral:misc_RNA from 1 species